CCGGUGUCCCUGGCGCAGCCCUGGGCCCCGCGGGAUGCAGCUGGCUGCCCUCCGUAGUCUUUCCCUUGUCAUCGCUCUCUCCCUGCGCGGCUCGACCUGAAGCAACCAGCGAGUGCAGUACCUGUGUAUAGUGCCUUCAUAGCAGAUUGCUUCCUACAGCUCUUUUCACUUAUUCUGUCUCUUCAAAUCUAAGUGGUGUGGUUUUGAACCGACAUCUUCCAGUAAUUUGCCAAAAUGACUAACGGGAAGAGAAAGAGAAAGGGAACCCGGUAUAUGUUCUCUAGGCGUUUUAGAAAACAUGGGGUUGCUCCUUCAGCCACAUACAUGGAAAUUUGCAAAAAGCGUCAUAAUGUAGACAUCAAGGGAACGGAUACUGUUCAAAAAGGAGUGCCACGCAAAUGUUACUAUGGUGAAACUGGAAGCGUCUCGUUGUAAACAAGCAAGUUAAGGGCAAAAUACUUGCCAAGAUGAUUAAUGUGCAUAUCGAGCAUAUUAAACGCUCGAAGAGUUGAAAUGGCUUUCUGAAACCUGUCAAGGAAAGUGAUCAGAAAAAGAAGGAAGCCAAAGAAAAAGGUACCCAGGUUCAACCGAAGCACCAGCCUGCCUUGCUCAGAGAAGCACACUUUUGUGAGACCUAAUGUGAAGACGCUUGAGUUGCUGGAAUUAAUUUCCUAUGAAUUCAUGACAUAAAAUGGAGAUGUAGCUCUGCCAUUCAGCACCUAAAUAGCGGCUAAGUGUUCUAGGUCCUCCUUAAAAAUAAAAAACCAUCCUGUGUUGUAAGGAUGGUUUUCUUAAUGGAA